rnacentral:misc_RNA from 1 species
GAAAUGCGAUACGUAAUGUGAAUUGCAGAAUUCCGUGAAUCAUCGAAUCUUUGAACGCACAUUGCGCCCCUUGGUAUUCCAGGGGGCAUGCCUGUUUGAGCGUCAUUUCCUUCUCAAACAUUCAUGUUUGGUAGUGAGUGAUACUCUGUUUAUAUUUUGGGUUAACUUGAAAUUGCAAGCCUUUUGGGGAUGCGUGUCGGUAGAGUUUUAGGCGGAAACGUCUUGCUCUCCUUUUUCCUAACCAAAUGUCGUAUUAGGUUUUACCGACUCCGACAGACGGGACUAGGAGAUUGGGUGAGUGAUAGCACUAUCGAGCUCUGCCUAAUUUUUUUUUUGCGCGCCUUGGGCAAACAAUACUCUCAAAGUUUGACCUCAAAUCAGGUAGGAUUACCCGCUGAAC